rnacentral:rRNA from 1 species
AACGAACGCUGGCGGCAUGCCUAACACAUGCAAGUCGAACGAGACCUUCGGGUCUAGUGGCGCACGGGUGCGUAACGCGUGGGAAUCUGCCCUUGGGUUCGGAAUAACAGUUAGAAAUGACUGCUAAUACCGGAUAAUGUCUUCGGACCAAAGAUUUAUCGCCCAGGGAUGAGCCCGCGUAGGAUUAGCUAGUUGGUGAGGUAAAGGCUCACCAAGGCGACGAUCCUUAGCUGGUCUGAGAGGAUGAUCAGCCACACUGGGACUGAGACACGGCCCAGACUCCUACGGGAGGCAGCAGUGGGGAAUAUUGGACAAUGGGCGAAAGACCUGAUCCAGCAAAUGCCGCGUGAGUGAUGAAGGCCUUAGGGUUGGUAAAAGCUCUUUUUACCCGGGAUGAUAAUGACAGU